UAUUGACUAUGCAACACCGAUUGCAAGGUGGCUAACGAUGCAACAGAACUAUGGUGGUGGAUUUCACUCAACGCAGGACACAGUCAUUGCCUUGGAAGCUUCAUCACGAUACGACAUUGCAUUUGUGAAGAGGGAAGAAGAAAUCAAUAUGCAAAUUCAUAUCCAUGUUUUUGGAAGUCCCAUUGAGAACACGAUUCAUUUGCGCCGGCAUAAUGCUCUGACUGAGAAAGAAUUGAAGUUUCCGUUUGGAAGAAAGAUUCACAUCAAAUUGACUGGUCAAGGAAAUGGGACACUGACUAACCAUACGAUUAGACUAUUUUGAUGAGGAAUUUUAAAGAUUACGAGUCCCGUCCGUUUGACUCACAGUUUGGUACCAUAGGUUGGUACGAUCUUCGUUCGAGAAGGAAAAGGGAUGUUCCAGAUUCAGAAAAUCGUCAAACCAUUUACUACAAAGUCUGUUUCUGGGUGGAGUUAGUGGAACCGAAAAAGAUGUCUCCCUCACAGCGUUUGUGACAAAAGAAUUGCAUCGUUCCUUGGCGGCCUUUCGACAGAAUAAUAUUCAGAGAUUUCCCGAGUGAACCUACCCCGGAAGAGAGACCCCAGAGAAUUGCCAAAGCUGUCCGCAAACAGUCAAUAGAAGUGAAGGAAAAUUGGGAACAAUCGAAAACCCGUGCGAGCAACUGGCAGAAACAGGUGGAAAAGGCGUUGGAGAAACUUCAAGAACUGCAGAAAGCUCUGGAUAAUCUUGAGGCUCAUGUGAUAACAGCUGAGGGGGUCCGCACUGAUUGGCAACCUGUGAGUGACCUGCUUAUUGACUCAUUGCAGGAUCACUUUGAUAAAACCACAGCUUUUAAAGAAGAAAUUGCCCCAGUGAAACAAGAAGUCAAAAUAUUCAAUGAUCUGGCCAGUCAGUUAUCUCUUUGAUGUCUCUUUAUCUCCAAAGAUUUCUCACCAGCUUGAUGACCUAAAUAUGAGGUGGAAACUUAAACAGAUUGCUGUUGAGGAACGGAUCAAGCAGUUGCAAGAAGCAUAACGGGAUUUUGGUCCUUCAUCACAACACUUCCUUUCGACAUCCGUCCAGCUGUUUUGGCAGGGAGCUGUAUCACACAACAAUAAAGUGCCAUAUUACAUCAAGGGUAUGAGUGGAAGAAUCAGAGUUCCUUCUUUGACAAUUGGCUUGAUGUGUCUAUCCAAGUGUCACCUGGAGGAAAAAUACAAGUAUCUCUUCAAACAAGGAGCUGAACCCACAGAUUUACAUGACCAACGAAACCUGAGCCUUUUGCUUCACGAUGCAGUCCAGAUCCCUCGGCAGCUGGGUGAGGUAGUUUCGUUUGGAGGCAGCAACAUUGAACCAAGUGUCCACAGUUGCUUCCCACAUGUACCACAGCCUCAAACACUUCAAUUAUGACAUCUGCCAAAGCUGUUUCUUGUCAGGACGCACAUCAAAGGGACACAAGUUACAUUACCCAAUGGUGGAGUACUGCACUCCGACAACAUCAAGUGAAGAUGUGCGUGAUUUCACCAAGGUGCUGAAAAAUAAGUUCAGAUCAAAGAAAUACUUGGCCAAACAUCCUCGCUUGGGUUAUUUACCAGUACAAACAGUUCUAGAAGGGGUAUGAGUGGAAGAAUCAGAGUUCCUUCUUUGACAAUUGGCUUGAUGUGUCUAUCCAAGCGUCACCUGGAGGAAAAAUACAAGUUAAUGUAUCAUCAUUAGAAGACUGGGAAAAAUAUUCAGAAGUGCUGUAUGACUCUGCUGCUCACUUGCAGCAGGGAGAACACUUAAUGUGAGAGCUCAGAGCAAGAGAUUUUCUUUACUUCUUACCUGCAGCAGAGGCCUAUGAAAUGCUGUCCGAGAACUGUGACCUCCACAACUCCUUCGACCACACGAGCACAUUUGUCCAGGAACACACACGGACUGACAUUGAAGAACUAUUGGGAUAACAAUACUCAGCGUGGGACUGGGAAAGACAGCAUGUACAAACAGAAAACAGCUGUAAAUAGUGUCCAGAGGUGAAAUAAAGUUC